rnacentral:rRNA from 1 species
CAUUCCGAACCCGGAAGUUAAGCCCUCCAGCGCCGAUGGUACUGCCGGGGCAACCUGGUGGGAGAGUAGGUCGCCGCGGGAA